rnacentral:lncRNA from 1 species
AAUUAUUUAAUUUUUUUUUUUAAUUUUUAUUAAUUCACUCUUUUUGUUUUUUAGAAUUUUUUUCAUGCACUAUCAUACGUAGAUGAUGAAGCUUAUUGUGACUAAGCCCGAGGGAUACUAUGUAGACUGUGCUUGAUGGUUUGUUUGUCUUUUGAUAUUAUCUGAAACUCUGCUGAUUUUAUUUGUAUUUUUUUUAGCAUGUCGUUGUGCACAGUAAAUAUUGAUGUCGGAGCUUUUGAAGAAUUGAAAUAAUGUUGCUCAAUUGAAUGGGCUGCCCGGUGGAUUAUCUCACAUC